rnacentral:tRNA from 4 species
GAGGAUAUGGCGGAAUUGGUAGACGCAACGGACUUAAAAUCCGUUGAUUUAUUAAAUCGUGAGGGUUCAAGUCCCUCUAUCCUCA